UAGGGAAUCUUCCGCAAUGGACGCAAGUCUGACGGAGCAACGCCGCGUGAGUGAAGAAGGAUUUCGGUUCGUAAAACUCUGUUGUUAGAGAAGAACAGCGCAUAGAGUAACUGUUAUGCGUGUGACGGUAUCUAACCAGAAAGCCACGGCUAACUACGUGCCAGCAGCCGCGGUAAUACGUAGGUGGCAAGCGUUGUCCGGAUUUAUUGGGCGUAAAGCGAGCGCAGGCGGUCAAUUAAGUCUGAUGUGAAAGCCCCCGGCUCAACCGGGGAGGGUCAUUGGAACCUGGUUGACUUGAGUGCAGAAGAGGAGAGUGGAAUUCCAUGUGUAGCGGUGAACUGCGUAGAUAUAUGGAGGAACACCAGUGGCGAAGGCGACUCUCUGGUCUGUAACUGACGCUGAGGCUCGAAAGCGUGGGUAGCAAACAGG
rnacentral:rRNA from 1 species